rnacentral:misc_RNA from 1 species
AAAAUAAAAUGGCGGACGUAUGGACGUAUUCAUCAGGGGAGACUUUUAGCAAAAUGUCAUUCAAGUGCAUUUCCAUUUAUUAUUGCUAUUGUUUUUUUGUGUCUUUGGACUGACCUAAUAUGACAUAUGGCUACCUAUAAAAAGAAAAACGUCGAUGAGCAUAAAAAUAAAGUUGCUGUACAAGAAAAUCCGACUGAAAAGCAAGGAAAACAUGGCAGACCCAAAACAGAAAAUCGCAAGAGGAAUGAAUUUUUUGAACAAGUCGACUCUCUUAACCGCGAAUAUAAUUCCUUGGAGAAGGAAAGAAAUACUUUAAUGUUCAGUCGUCGCAGUGACUUCAGGAAAGAAUAUUGCAGCUUUGAAGAUUCAGAUGUAAAGUCUUUAAAUGAGAAAACAGCUGAAAAACAACACUUGAAGCAACAACUUGGCAAGAUAAGAGGGAGUGUGAGCAAGUUUCAAAGAGAGCUACUAGAUGUCAAGCCCUCACCUUCAUUUGUUCAAAAAUUAAAAGACAUGAUGGAGGAAAUUGAAAGUUCUAUUAUGGCAUUCAAAGAACAGCAGCAAAAAAUCUAUGACGGUUUGAUUCAAGAAGAAAAAUCAACUCAACAAGAGAUUACUGCAAUGGAAAAGAAAUUUGAUUCAUGGUGUCAAUUACCAGCUCCUUCAACAGUUGCUGCCAAUGUUAAGAGGACAACAAGCACUGUAACAGCAUCUCUACCACCUGCGGUAGCUGCAUUUGAGAAAUUCUUGGUACAAACAGGAGGGCACCAAGGUGGAUGGGAUGAUUAUGACAAUCAGCUAUUCCUAAAACUAAAGGCUAAGUACAAGAACAAUGAGACCUUUCUGCGGAUGGCAGGAUCAGCAAUUCCUGGGAAGAAUUUUGAUGAAGUCCGACAGCAUAAUGAAUGGUUUAUUCAAUACCUAGAGCUGAAGGAAAGCAAGAGGAAAGCUAUUCUUGAAUGGAAGCAAAAUAAAAAGGAAGAAAAAGAUGACUCGUUUAUGAAAACAGAAGAGACGGAAGAAGAUGAUCAGAUUAAAAAAAAGAAUGAAAAGCUAGAAAACGAACGUGCUGAACGUUUAUCUAAACUCGCUGAGUACAAAGCACAGAAAGAAUUAGAGAAGGCUAAAUUACAGGAACAACAAUUCCAAGAAGAAAUGAAUAAGAUGAAAGAAAGAGAGAAAGAAGAGAAAAAAAGACUGGAAUUGAAAGCACAAGUUGAAGAGUAUGCUCGCUGUCGAGCUGAAGAGGAAAAAGUUAUGCGAGAAGCAGAGGAGGCUAGGAAAGCACAACUAAGAAAGGAAAGUAAACCAAGCACCGAAGAAAUCAACCGGAUAAGAGAAAGAGUAAACUGUAUAACUCCUCAACCAACAUUCCUUUGUCCUUCUUAUUGUUUUCAUUCAGAAUACCAAAAUACUUAAAGAAAAACAAGCGGUGAUAAAAGCAAAAGAGGAAGAAAUCAAGGAAAAAGAAAGACGACUUCGAAAAUUGAAAAGUCAAGUGGAGGUGAAAGCGGAACGAGACCCAUCUCGUCUUUACAAACUAACACGUGGUUUAGAAGAAA